GAGAAGUGGGCAAAGGCUCCGCCUCACUCAAAAAGCGAGAGAAAAAAAGGAAAAGCAAACUGAUACACACCUCUCAAUUCUGGCAGGAGGAAAAGAAUAGGAGUGUUUAUGAAGCGUAUAAGUAAACAGCAGGAUAACCAGACACACCGAGAGCUGCGGCUACUUCCCCCCGUACAAACCGACACCCGGCACCGUUUCCCAGCACCGGAGAUUGUCCCGUUGCGUUCAGGAUUAAGUUUGUAUGUCAUCUAAAGGUGGAUCAUUAUCUAAAUCCGAGAUAACAAGCGAAUUUGAAAUGCGUAGCCUGCGAUGCUAUUUCUGGAGCCCCUAAAGCCGACGUGUGAACUCUCAGUAAAGAUCCAGUCGAGCUAUAAGAGGCCAGUUAGCAAACUUUGGGAGGACUGCAGCAUCUGAGACGAUAAGGAGGAGAGGAGGACACUAAAAUCAAGAGAGGAGAGAGCAUUUUAAGCCGUGACGGGAUGGCUCUGGUCGACAAACAUAAAGUGAAGCGCCAGCGGCUGGACAGGAUCUGUGAAGGUUUGCUUUGAUUGACAGCUGCCGUAGAGGGAACCCCCAUAGGAUCUUGUGACGCUACGCUAUAGGACGGAGCUCGUUACCGUGCUGACACAGAAAUAACUGUGGCUUCGCAGGCUCUGGCUGCACAAUGCCUGCGCCCUGGAGUGGGAUUUUUUGGCUUCAGAGCCGUACAACGGGAAGAAGCAGAGCAACGCUGUCCAUUUUUAUUUACAGUCUAUGAUUGUGGCCAAUUUACUGAGACUUGCACCAUCCCCCUCUGCUAUGUUGGUUGUCUUGCUUGUAGAACUCUUUGUGAUCAAACCAGCAAUCCACAAGGUUUAUUUACUUAGGAGUGUACAACUGUUUACUUGUAAGGCAUGAUUAUGACAUAGUGAGGGACAAAAGCUGUCAAGAUGUUGCACUGUCAGUGUCAACCUGGUAUUUAGCAUGCUUUGCAGAGCGAAGCUGUCACUUAUUUCUUUGAGUGCCAUUUUCUUGGUAGAGUACUUUAACACAACAACAUGCCUUGUUGCAUUUUAUUGUGGUGUGUCAUUCGCACCACUGUAUAGGAUGCAGCUCACCUUUUAGAUCACAAAAAAUUAAAGUGCAAUUUACACAAAAUUUUAUGAUUAUGAGUAAAAACAAACACAAACAACUAUCUUUUGAGGUUUUUAAGAUCAAAGACAAAAAAUUGAAUUAUAAAAGUGUUGCCUUAAUUUUAAUAAACAGCCUUUAUUGAGGAAA